rfam:Valsa mali var. pyri strain SXYL134 unplaced genomic scaffold scaffold00096, whole genome shotgun sequence.
UACUAUGAUGAUCAUCAACCUUCUUAAUUGAAAAACUAUAUAUUCUGGUACCUCUUAUGUUAGGCCUUCCCUUCGGGGAACCCGAUGAAUGAAAUGGACUUCUGACA